AACUAGAAGAACCYUACCUACUCUUGACAUCCAGAGAACUUAGCAGAGAUGCUUUGGUGCCUUCGGGAACUCUGAGACAGGUGCUGCAUGGCUGUCGUCAGCUCGUGUUGUGAAAUGUUGGGUUAAGUCCCGCAACGAGCGCAACCCUUAUCCUUUGUUGCCAGCGGUUAGGCCGGGAACUCAAAGGAGACUGCCAGUGAUAAACUGGAGGAAGGUGGGGAUGACGUCAAGUCAUCAUGGCCCUUACGAGUAGGGCUACACACGUGCUACAAUGGCGCAUACAAAGAGAAGCGACCUCGCGAGAGCAAGCGGACCUCAUAAAGUGCGUCGUAGUCCGGAUUGGAGUCUGCAACUCGACUCCAUGAAGUCGGAAUCGCUAGUAAUCGUGGAUCAGAAUGCCACGGU
rnacentral:rRNA from 1 species